AUUUUUUAAUAGUUUUAAUAAGUUCAGUAGUGCGUUUGACUAUAGUCAUAAUGACGUAUAUGCAUGCCGCGACAUUAUAUAUGAGCUUAAACUCAUCAAACGACUUUAUUCGGACGUGACAUUGACAGAAGCGUUCGUCAUAUUAUAUGGAUAUCAUAUCGAUGCCUAGCACUCUCUAUAGCUGCUGUGGAACAAAAAUAUGCGCGCGUUGGCCGGCUUUAAUUUUAAUUGGGUUUCAGACACGCCAGAAAAAUAAGAUGAGUUGGCAAAAAUAUCAUUAUUAUAUUAUUAUUACUAUCGGGUCCGCAGGCGACCACCAAUGGACGCGCGUUGGAGGCCCAAGUCCAUACCGGUAAACGCAUUGAGAAGAGCUAUAUUAGUACAAUGAGGGGCGAUCUCAAUGACCACAGAGACAAUGGGCGAGACUGGAGAGAUCAGAGUGUAAAAAUAUAAUGUAAAUGUAUAUAUAUACACGAGAUGAUAAUAUAUACGCUCGAGAAAGAAAAAGAAAAAAAACAAAAACAAUAGCCCACCAAAGCGUCAUAAAAACUAAUCUCUUGGUCAGGGUCGUUAAUCAUCAUUGUCCAAGUGCGUUUUGACACCAUAAUUUUAUCGAAAUAAUCACAAUAAUAAUAUUGGCCUAUAAUUGUAUUAUUAAUAUAUUAUUAUAGGUUUAUUUUUUUAUUAUUCUA